GCGGAAUUGCUGACAGCGGAGGGACAUUAC
rnacentral:rRNA from 1 species